GAAUAUUGGACAAUGGGCGAAAGCCUGAUCCAGCAAUGCCGCGUGCAGGAUGAAGGCUUUCGGGUUGUAAACUGCUUUUGUACGGAACGAAAAGCUUUGGGCUAAUACCCUGGAGUAAUGACAGUACCGUACGCAUACACACCGGCUAACUACGUGACAGCAGCCGCGGUAAUCCGUAGGGUGCAAGCGUGAAUCGGAAGUACUGGGCGUAAAGCGGGCGCAGGCGGUUUUGUAAGACAGAGGUGAAAUCCCCGGGCUCAACCUGGGAACUGCCUUUGUGACUGCAAGGCUAGAGUACGGCAGAGGGGGGUGGAAUUCCGCGUGUAGCAGUGAAAUGCGUAGAUAUGCGGAGGAACACCGAUGGCGAAGGCAACCCCCUGGGCCUGUACUGACGCUCAUGCACGAAAGCGUGGGGAGCAAACA
rnacentral:rRNA from 1 species